CUAAAUACGUGCCAGCAGCCGCGGUAAUACGUAUGUCCCGAGCGUUAUCCGGAUUUAUUGGGCGUAAAGCGAGCGCAGACGGUUUAUUAAAGUCUGAUGUGAAAGCCCGGAGCUCAACUCCGGAAUGGCAUUGGAAACUGGUUAACUUGAGUGCAGUAGAGGUAAGUGGAACUCCAUGUGUAGCGGUGGAAUGCGUAGAUAUAUGGAAGAACACCAGUGGCGAAGGCGGCUUACUGGACUGCAACUGACGUUGAGGCUCGAAAGUGUGGGUAGCAAACAGGAUUAGAUACCCUGGUAGUCCACACCGUAAACGAUGAACACUAGGUGUUAGGAGGUUUCCGCCUCUUAGUGCCGAAGCUAACGCAUUAAGUGUUCCGCCUGGGGAGUACGACCGCAAGGUUGAAACUCAAAGGAAUUGACGGGGACCCGCACAAGCGGUGGAGCAUGUGGUUUAAUUCGAAGCAACGCGAAGAACCUUACCAGGUCUUGACAUCCUUUGAAGCUUUUAGAGAUAGAAGUGUUCUCUUCGGAGACAAAGUGACAGGUGGUGCAUGGUCGUCGUCAGCUCGUGUCGUGAGAUGUUGGGUUAAGUCCCGCAACGAGCGCAACCCUUAUUGUUAGUUGCCAGCAUUCAGAUGGGCACUCUAGCGAGACUGCCGGUGACAAACCGGAGGAAGGCGGGGACGACGUCAGAUCAUCAUGCCCCUUAUGACCUGGGCUACACACGUGCUACAAUGGCGUAUACAACGAGUUGCCAGCCCGCGAGGGUGAGCUAAUCUCUUAAAGUACGUCUCAGUUCGGAUUGUAGUCUGCAACUCGACUACAUGAAGUCGGAAUCGCUAGUAAUCGCGGAUCAGCACGCCGCGGUGAAUACGUUCCCGGGUCUUGUACACACCGCCCGUCACACCAUGGGAGUUUGUAAUGCCCAAAGCCGG
rnacentral:rRNA from 1 species